UCCAUCCCUGGAGAGGCUUCAACCUCACCCUGCUGCUCUGGUGUCCCCCCAGCCCGGCUGAAGGAGGUGGUGAAGGUGCUGGAAAAGCUCAACAGGAGCGGGAGGUGGAAGUGGCUCCUUCACUACAGGGAGAGCAAGAAGCUCAGAGGAGACCUCAGCAGGGUGGCCCCCGAUGCCCACGGGAAGCAGCUGCUCCUGAAGUGGUGCCAGGAGGAGGGGCUGGUGGAGGUGCUGCCCUUCCACGGCUGCGACUCCCCCGGCGCCCCCGAGAAGCAGCUCCUGAGGUGCCUCCUGGGGCUCCAGGUCCAGCACAUCCAGGCCAGGCUGGGAGUGUUCCUGACCCAAAACCCCGGAGCGAGGAGGGAGGUCCUGGAGAGCAAAGGGAUCCUGGUGGCCGACGUGAGCUCCUUCCUGGGCUCCCUGCAGGGCGUGGCCACUCCUUUCCGGAGGAGCUACUGGUGACAAAGCCGAGCCAGGACACGGCUCCUCCCCACGGUGGCACCAGUUGGGGCAUCCCAGCCCUUCCGGGACACCCCAUCCCGGCGGAUGCUCCGGGUGGCGCGGGAAGGGCCGUCUGAGUCCGCACAGAAAACCUGACUGGGAGGUGGCCAAUCCAACCCCCCCUCCCCGGGGGUUUUAUUCCCUGUUCCAG